rnacentral:lncRNA from 1 species
ACAAUCACUGUUCAGUUGCUGUGGUUUUAUACUCCUUAGAUGAUCUGAAAAUCCCAUAGGCCUUCCAGGGCUACCCUGACACUUCCUCCGGGGAACAAGCUUUCGGGACCAUCUGAGGCUGACCUUUAGUUGGCCAAAGGGCACUAUUUCCUGUUCCUGGCCAGAGCAGUAGGGCCAAAAGAAUCAUGGUUUCCUGCUUCCUGAUGAAAGGACCAUGUGAAGUAUGGAGGGAACAGGUUCUGAUGAUGAAACCUGGGAGUCUGCACUGGAUAUGGGGCUGUACCAUGUUAGAUGGAGCCAAGAGCAUCAGACCUCUUCCACUGAGACACAAAAGGAUCCCACUGGAGUCUUCAACUAUACCACAAGAGGAGACAUGAUCGUCUGCUAGCAGCCUCAAGGAAGCUAUUUCCACAUGUUCACACAACUGGGUAUAGUGUGGAGCCUGUGUGCAUGGGAACUGAGGUUUGACUACUUUUCAAAGCUCUAAUCUGCCUUUUGGUCCACUUCAAGAGCCUUGGGUACAGAGCUCACACCUCUGACAGACAUGUGCUUAUGACACUGGACCAAACUCCGGAAGCAAUCAGUGUGCUUGAAGAUUGAAUCGCUGAAUGAAGAACGAACGAGGAAUGGAGUGUUGUCUUUAUGUUAAAAUGCUUUUGUGAUUUAAAAAAAGAUUAGUUUUAUAAUGUGUACAAUAGACAGAACUGAAGAGUUCCAUGUUAAGCAGACAAUCUUACAGACAGGCAGACUUGAGGGGGCCAGAAAGACAAAUGAAGAGUUGACAGAUACCUUGUUUGAAGAGGCUUGUUGUAAAGAUAAUAGCUACAGAGAUGGUAUAAUAUCUCCAGCCAGCAACCAGCAAUCCACUAACCAGAAAUCCAGCCACAGCCACAGCAGGAGCAGCAGCAGCAGGAGGAGCAGCAAGAGAAGGAGCAGCAGCAGGAGGAGGAGCAGCAGGAGCAGCAGGAGAAGCAGGAGAAGCAGCGGAGAAUGAGACUCUGAGAAGGUUCAUCAAGUAGUGACCAACAUGUGUGACUGAGGAAAGCAGUUUCUUCUCAAAGUUAAUGUGCUCAUGUCAGAACAUGGGAUGCCAAUGAUACUACCAAUG